AUACGUAGGGUGCAAGCGUUAAUCGGAAUUACUGGGCGUAAAGCGUGCGCAGGCGGUUUUGGAAGUCAGAGGUGAAAUCCCCGGGCUCAACCUGGGAACUGCCUUUGUGACUGCAAGGCUAGAGGACGGCAGCGGGGGGUGGAAUUUCGUGUGCAGCAGUGAAAUGCGUAGAUAUGCGGAGGAACACCGAUGGCGAAGGCAAUCCCCUGGGCCUGUACUGACGCUCAUGCACGAAAGCGUGGGGAGCAAACAGGAUUAGAUUCCCUGGUAGUCCACGCCCUAAACGAUGUCAACUGGUUGUUGGGUCUUCAUUGACUCAGUAACGAAGCUAACGCGUGAAGUUGACCGCCUGGGGAGUACGGCCGCAAGGUUGAAACUCAAAGGAAUUGACGGGG
rnacentral:rRNA from 1 species